ACCACUGACUAUGAUGUUGUACAACUGUCAACAUGAAUCUAUUUUUAUCUUUGCUGUUCAGGUAAAGGCUGAAAUGGUUAGGGUGGGGACUCAGACUGAAUGGUUUGAGCAACAAAUAUCAACUCCACUGCCCAGUCCUGUCCAAAGUGAGGACGAAUCAUCCUCUGAUGUCAUGUUCUGAUCUGUCAUGGAUCCCAGACAAGGAGAUGAGUAGUGAGUCAUCUGAUGAGGAGAAUCCAGAAGAGCCAAUACAGGAAUCUCUCAAUGACCCCAAUGUGGCUGACAAGUUCAUUGUUUGCCUAAGCCACCUGUUCACCAUUUGCUCGGUCUGUUGUGGGAAAACCCAGGGACAAAUAGAGUACCAGGAAGGCCAUGAUUCAACUCCAGAGGAAUAUUGGUAUUAGUAGUUGUAUUCAUUUCCUGUUUCAUAUACAUUGUCAGGCCUGCACAGCAUUUGGCUAUCAGCGUUAAUAGCAGAAUCAAAAUAUGCUGCACCGAAACAUGCCAGCCUGCAAUCUUCUACUCGGCGGUGCCAUUCACUUUUCGGGCUGCAUGGCUACUCAGACCAUCAGAACACUGAAGCUGUUUGGCCUGCAGUGCAUCAGUGCAAGCUCUUUUUUCCGCCAACAGCACCGCUACACAAUUCCUGUAAUCAUGCAGGCCUGGCAGAAUGAGCAGAGAGGGAUCAUCAGAGAGCUGAAGAAGAUUGGGGGUGGACUGAUCCUCUCUGGUGACUGCAGAUCAGACUCUCCAGGACAUUGUGCCAAAUAUGGAACGUAUUUGAUUGAUUGAAGACCAAAUAAACAAGGUUUUGGAUCUUCAACUUGUCCAGAGCUCAGAAGUCCCAAGCAGCAACUGGUGUGAGAUAGAAGGUCUGAAGCGCAGUGUGCGGUUCCUGAAGGACCAAGGCAUGCAGGUGUCAGCCCUAAUAACCGACAGAAAUCGCCAGUUUGCUAAGUGGGUCCGUGAGGAGUUGUGUCCAGAAGGAACAAGCCAUUUCUACGACAUCUGGCAUAUUGGGAAAAGUCUACAAAAAGCACUGGAUACUGUGGCCAAGGAGAAGGAUUGCGAGGACCUGAAGCUAUGGAGACCUGCCACCA